AGACCACACCUCUACCCUGACUCAGCACACACAGCUGUACCGUCAGGGGCUGCAAACCAACAUCUCUCAGGGCCUUCCUGGAAGCUGCGGCUGGACUCCCCUUGUACUCCAGGGGAGCAUCCCUGGAGGCCCAGGUCGGGGCUCCUGGAGGGUCCCUGGGUUCUGGGGGACAGAAGAACAGGGAGGAAGAAUCCAGAUGUGGCUCACUGGGCUCUGUGGAU
rnacentral:lncRNA from 1 species